AGCUAACCAACGAGAUGCGGAUGGUCAUUGUCAUUUUCUAAGCUGCGAACGGGCAGAAAGCUAACCAACGAGAUGAGGAUGGACAUUGUCAUUUUCUAAGCUGCGAACGGGCAGAAAGCUACAUAACGAGAUGAGGAUGGUCAUUGUCAUUUUCUGAGCUGCGAACGGGCAGAAAGCUACACAACGAGAUGAGGAUGGUCAUUGUUAUUUUCUGAGCUGCGAACAGGCAGAAAGCUAACCAACGAGAUGAGGAUGGUCAUUGUCAUUUUCUGAGCUGCGAACGGGCAGAAAGCUACAUAACGAGAUGAGGAUGGUCAUUGUCAUUUUCUGAGCUGCGAACGGGCAGAAAGAUGAGGAUGGUCAUUGUUAUUUUCUGAGCUGCGAACGGGCAGAAAG